AUACUCUGGUUUUUCUUCAACUCGUAUAAAUCUUUCGCCUUUUACUAAAGAUUUCCGUGGAGAGAAACAGUUGUGAGUCUUCACUCAAUUUUUGAAGCCUCAUAUAUCAUGAGGCU
rnacentral:snRNA from 1 species